GAUGAACGCUGGCGGCGUGCCUAAUACAUGCAAGUCGAGCGAACAGACGAGGAGCUUGCUCCUCUGACGUUAGCGGCGGACGGGUGAGUAACACGUGGAUAACCUACCUAUAAGACUGGGAUAACUUCGGGAAACCGGAGCUAAUACCGGAGAAUAUAUUGAAGCGCAUGGUUCAAUAGUGAAAGACGGUGUUGCCGUCACUUAUGGAUGGAUCCGCGCCGCAUCAGCGAGUUGGUGGGGUAAUGGCUUACCAAGGCUACGCCGGGUUGCCGACCGGAGAGGGUGAACGGCCACAUUGGGACUGAGAUCCGGCCCAGACUCCUACGGGAGGCAGCAGUGGGGAAUUUUGCACAAUGGGCGGAAGCCUGAUGCAGCAACGCCUCGUGCGGGAUGACGGCCUUCGGGUUGUAACCCGCUUUCGCCUGUGACGAAGCGUGAGUGCCGGUCAUGGGUAAAGAAGCACCGGCUAACUACGUG
rnacentral:rRNA from 1 species